AUACCCUCUUAAAAGGCUGAUAACGCACUUGCAACCCUUCUGAUUUUGCGAGUGUCCAAGGGCGAUGUAGUUGCUUUCCAUUAGGUGACCCGUUUGAUCUUUUCCCCCUUAAUUUUA